UACGUAGGGGGCAAGCGUUGUCCGGAUUUAUUGGGCGUAAAGAGCGUGUAGGCGGCCAGGUAGGUCAGCUGUGAAAACUCGAGGCUCAACCUCGAGACGUCGGUUGAAACCACCUGGCUAGAGUCCGGAAGAGGAGAGUGGAAUUCCUGGUGUAGCGGUGAAACGCGCAGAUAUCAGGAAGAACACCCGUGGCGAAGGCGGCUCUCUGGGACGGUACUGACGCUGAGACGCGAAAGCGUGGGGAGCGAACAGG
rnacentral:rRNA from 1 species